UUGGUUAUCGCUUACAGAUGGGCCUGCGGCUCAUUAGCUAGUUGGUAGGGUAACGGCUUACCAAGGCAACGAUGGGUAGCCGGCCUGAGAGGGUGGUCGGCCACACUGGGACUGAGAUACGGCCCAGACUCCUACGGGAGGCAGCAGUAAGGAAUAUUGCGCAAUGGUCGCAAUGCUGACGCAGCAACGCCGCGUGGAUGAUGAAGCUCUAUGGAGUGUAAAGUCCUGUUAGAAGGGAAGAACAGUACGGAGUCAAAGCUUCGUGCAUGACGGUACCUUCAGAGAAAGCCCCGGCUAACUCCGUGCCAGCAGCCGCGGUAAUACGGGGGGGGCAAGCGUUGUCCGGAAUUACUGGGCGUAAAGGGCGCGUAGGUGGAAUUGUAAGCUAGAGGUGAAAGCCAGCAGCUUAACUGCUGGUCUGCCUUUAAUACUGCAGUUCUUGAGUGCGAAAGAGGGAAGCGGAAUUCUUGGUGUAGCGGUGAAAUGCGUAGAUAUCAAGAAGAACACCGGUAGCGUAGGCGGCUUCCUGGUUCGUAACUGACACUGAGGCGCGAAAGUGUGGGGAGCAAACAGGAUUAGAUACCCUGGUAGUCCACACCGUAAACGAUGGAUACUAAGUGUUGGGUUUCACGACUCAGUGCCGAAGUUAACCGCAUUUAGUAUCCCGCCUGGGGAGUACGAUCGCAAUGUUGAAACUCAAAGGAAUUGACGGGGGACCGCACAAGCGGUGGAGCAUGUGGUUUAAUUCGAUGCAACGCGAAGAACCUAACCGGGGUUUGAAAUGCAGUUGCUCUCCGUUGAAUGACGGAUUUCAUUCGGGACAUCUGUACAGUUGCUGCAUGGCUGUCGUCAGAGUCGUGCCGUGAGGUGUUGGCUUAAGUCCCGCAACGAGCGCAACCGUUGUCCUUAGUUGCUAUCAGGUCAAGCUGAGAACUCUAACGCGACUGCCUCGGAUAACGAGGAGCCCGCUGGGCCUGACGUCAAGUCCUCAUGGCCCUUACAUCCCGGGCUACACACGUGCUACAAUGGUCAGUACAACGGGAAGCGAUACCGUGAGGUGG
rnacentral:rRNA from 1 species